GACGAACGCUGGCGGCGUGCUUAACACAUGCAAGUCGAACGGAAAGGCCCUGCUUUUGUGGGGUGCUCGAGUGGCGAACGGGUGUGUAACACGUGAGUAACCUGCCCUUUACUUUGGGAUAACUUCAGGCAACUGGGGCUAAUACCUGAUAGGAGCUCCUGCUGCAUGGUGGUGUUUGGAUAGUUUCGGCGUUUGGGGAUGGACUCGCGGCUUAUCAGCUUGUUGGUGGGGUAGUGGCUUACCAAGGGUUUGACGGGUAGGCGGCCUGUGGGGGUGACCGGCAACAAGGGGACUGAGAGAGGGAACAGAGGGCAACGGGAGGCAGCAGGGGGGAAUAUUGCAAAAUGGGCGGAAGCGUGAUGAAGAAAAGCCGCGAGCGGGAAGACGGGCAUCGGGUUGUAAAACGAAGUCGCCUGAGACGAAGCGGGAGUGACGGUAAUGGGUAAAGAAGCACCGGCUAACUACGUG
rnacentral:rRNA from 1 species